rnacentral:lncRNA from 10 species
GCACACUUGAGCAGGCCUUUUGUCUGCUUAGAAGACAUUCCAACUGCCCAUAAGCAGUUGGCCUUCGCACAAAGGAGGGUGUCCAUGGAGGAGGGCAGUCUGUCUGUGCAGCAUAUUGUUGAGUGAUUGUGAAUCUGCAAGCCUGCAGUUUGUAAGUCAUCCCCAGCAUGGAAGGAUUCAAGGAGAUUCAAAACCCGUGUCACUGCUGCCAUCUUCCUAGAAUCCCUUUAAAUCCUCAUGGAUUUGCUGACAUUGGGAGCAUCCUGAAAGAGUCCCCAUGCUAGGGUGGCUGCAGUAACAGGUUCUCCCCACUCCAGAAAAAAUCAAAUCAGAUUGUGAAUUUAUUCCCUGACAUUAACACACGGCAUUACAGGAGCAUGUACAUCACAUGGUCAAUUUAUUGGCAUGAGGAUUAUGUCAUCGGGGAAUAAAUGGGAAAUUCUCAAGGUGGCCCAGGCCUGUAGGCUUCCAGUGAGAAAACUGGAGACCACACUCACCCGUCCCACUGCCGUUUCUUUGGGGCUGCCUGUGAUACUGGGUUAUUCCCCUUGCCGAGUUCCACUGUGCUUACCCUGUUGGAAUAUGAUGGUGGACUUGCCAGAGGAGAUGACCAUGAUUUUCAGGAACAGCAGCCCCUCCUUCCUGGUUGAGGCAGCCAGCAGGCACUCCUAUCCAUGAGCCACAGCUCAGCUAAGGCAAUCCAGUCCAGCUGCAUGCCCUCUCUCUGCUUCUGGGGAGGUAGGAAGGACCAGGGGCAUUCAUGCUUGUUUCUAGGGGGCCCUAACUGGAUCUCUGGAUCAAGACCUACUCAGGGGAGAAAGACUACUCUGGGUUCCAUGUUAGGACUGACGGGUGCAUCUUAACUGAGAUGCAGACAGUGGACAAUUCGAACUCUGACCUGAGAGCAAGCCCCAGCCUUGGUGCUCAUAAAUGCUCCGCUUGGUCCUUCACAUUUGUGUUCCACACAGGAGAAGCCAAGUUGUGAGCAGUGCACCUUCACAAGCAAAGCCUCGACUGAAAUCUUCUCUAACAAUUGGCUGGUCACUCCUGAGCGUAAUCUACCCCUUCAGAACACUGGGGAUGAAUUUAGAGACAUCGAAGCCUCCUGAUGAGAAAUACGUGUCCACUCACCGGGAGAACUGAAAUACCAGGAGAUUUCUACACAAAUCUCACAGAGUCCUUCUGGCGUCCUAGGGGUUUGCUCACAUAUAAGGGACUUUCUGGUAGGAAGAGAGUCUCUUUACAUUCUUUAUUAUAUGAUCCUGGUGGCUUUGUAGAGAGAUGGUACAGCUGACAGAUCAUGUCCUGUGGGGCCAGGGAGUUGUGUGUGUGUGAAUGCUCUGUGAACUUGGGCAAACUACUUAGCCUCUCUGAGCCUUAGCUGCAUCAGCUUUGAAAAACAGGAUGAUAAAAUGGAGUCACCUUAUUUGACUUUUAUAAAUACACUUACACAAUUACACAAGUUGUGGGGAUGGGAAGAGAGAGUUGGGGAAAGAGAAAUGAGAGAGAGAGAGAGAGAGAAUGAAUGAUAAACAAUUUAAACAACAGUGGGGUGUAGACCAACGCCCAGCCUGGCAAGGGUGAGCCCAGAGAGCCUUCCCUCCUGGCUAUUGGCAGCCUCCGCAUGGAAGCCUGUCGUUGACUUCUUAAUGAUGAGAGAUGUUCUGGGGGCACUCCAGGAUUCUUGGACAUGGGAUCGUCUUCACAGCUGUGUCUAUUGAAAGCUGAAGUUUCAGUCUCCCCUGCCCCCUGCCCCCUGGAGUGGCUUCCCAGGGGAAAUUCAAGGGCACCUGUGACUGCAUGGCUGCUUUCCUUUCCUUUACUCAAUGCCGUCCUUUGGUGACAGCCGUGUCUCAUGCCAGGAUACAUGAGGUGCUCUAUAGUAGUAUGUUUUCCCUCCUGGGAGGUAAUUUUAUUUAAAUGUGAAGUCAAAAGGAUCACUAAAUAGAACCAUGAGGCAACCACUCUGGGCACCUGCCUGGUGAUAUCCACAAGAGCUGACCACAGGUGCCCCCUGUGCCCAGCAAGUCCUUGGCUGGGCAGUCACACAACAGGCAUGGGGAUGUGUGGCCACCAAGCCCUCCAGGGCAGUGCUAUUUGUAAUAGUCCCAAAUGGGAGAGAUGGCAAACGCCCGCCAAUGGGGCAGCAUGGAUAAAUGGAUGCUGCACAGCAACGGCGAUGAGUGAGCCCCAGCACCCGUGAGCUCACCAGUGUAAUAUUGGGUGGAAGAAGCCAGGAGGAAGGGCAUUCACAUUCUGUGAUUCCAGCUACACUAUGUUUAAAUAUGGGCAGAGCUAGGCUGUGGUGCUGGAAGCCAGGACAGUGGGAUCCUUGCAUGGGGGUGAUGGUGCUGGUAGGUUCUGGUAAUUUCCUCUUCUUGAUCUGGGUGUAAACAUUUUGUGAAAAUUCAAUGAGCUGUACAUUUAUGACUGGUACAUUUAUGACUUUGUAUGAAUAUUAUACUUUCAUAAAACUACUUUAAAAUAUGAUUGUGAACCUUUUUUCACCUAUUUUCUGCCAAUUAGCACCGAAUUGCUCACUAACUAAUGAGUGGUGCUGGUUUUGACUUGCUUGCUACACUGUCUUGAGACAGAUAGGGUUUUCUGUGCUUUGUAUGACCCCCUCUGGAACCAGGGUGGGACUGGGAACACUCGGAAAACAUGUGCUGACAGAUGCUGGGCAUCCCCGUGUUGGUGGAGGCAUGCUCAUUCCUCAGCAAAAUACCCAUAUGGGGUGUUGGCAGGAAAGAGGACAGAAAAGGACAAAGUAUUUGUCUCUGCUAGCGUUCCUGGAGCUGUCUCACCUUGGCCAAGCCCCCGCCCAGUCCUCUCCUAACGUGGACAGACUAGGGGGCAGAAACUAGUCAGCCAAAGAAUUUCCAAGCUAGGGGUUGAUGAAUGCUUGGAUAAUUUGCCCAUGAACACGUUGGAUUCUUCUUCACUUGCCAUCACGGGGGGAUAAGUACCCCAGUUUUUUUUUGGAGAGAAUUGAGGGACUGUGCCAUUGCAGUGUGGAUUUCAAGAGAUUUUAAACGGAAGGCAGAGUAACAGUGUGGUUUGGGAAGCUCUAAAGACAGUUGUCCUGGUGCGGUUUCUUCCAUAAAAGAGUGGGGACGCCAUGGACCUGCUCACCAAAUUCCAGUCCCGACACAGUUCUGUGAGGCACUCUCCACAUCAGGGCAGACGGGCAGGAGGAGUUUACACAGCGAUCUGGGGGCCAUUAGAGCACUGAGGGAUCCAUUGCUGUCUCUUGUUUCUGUUUCCCACACUGUGCUGGGUGCUGGGAACAUGACGAUGAACUUGAAGGAAAUAAUGUGUACGGUGGUUCAUUUCCAAGACAUAGUGCCUUGAAUCAGUUUAGGUCAGCAAACUACAGAAGAAACAGGAUAUACUAGGCCCCUGCUUGGAGAGCUGAUGCCUGUUUGUUGCCCCUCACCCCCUUAGUUGCCCUUACCAGAACCAAAGGAGUUUAGUCUAAGAUGAAAGUUUACUAGCCUGCAAAAUAGCUCACUUUGUCUGUUCUUAUCAGCCUGCCCAGCUACUUAGGUCAUAAGUGAAAUACUUGAAGAGCCCCUGAGCUAACUAGGAUUGCAAUGCAUUGUGGCUGCAACAAGAUGCAGCAAGACAACUGUAAAGAAAAUGCCUAAAACCCCUACCCACCAACCCAUAGGCGAUGUCCAGGAAGACUGUGACCUCCAUAGUACUCAGCAUUUGAGGAACUGGGGGAGGGACCUGUGCACUAGGGGAUAAAUUGCUUGUUGAAACUGUGCUGGGUGUGCCUGUCCAUCAGAUACCCUAUCUUGCAAGACUGUCG